rnacentral:rRNA from 2 species
AAACUUCUAACGGUGGAUCUCUUGGCUCGUGCAUCGAUGAAGAACGUUGCCAGUUGCGAAAAGUAAUGUGAAUUGCAGAAUUAAUAUGAAUCAUCGAGUCUUUGAACGCAAAUUGCACUCUGUUGAGAUAUCCGCAGAGUAUGCCUGUCUGAGCGUCG